CAGGGUGGCCAUAUCACCCUGAACAUACCUGAUCUCAUCUGAUCUCAGAAGAGGUGACAGUGAAUAAUGCAGCGGUUCUCAACCCUAAGAAGUUAAGGACACUUAGGGUGUUGCCGUCA
rnacentral:rRNA from 1 species